GAUGAGCGGCAGUGACGUCAACGUACUCGAUCGUACCACAGCACGACUUGUACCUGUGGAGAGCCCAGUCACAAUCUGCGGCUGUCCACCAGAGUGUUUGAGGGUCAGACCAGGAAAGGUUGUUGCUGUGGUCACAAUGAAUGGACGUUACAAUCUCAGCAUGCCAGAGCUGAGGUGUGAGACAUGUGAAGCUUCUUGGACUGCUGGAGUAGAUGACCUAAAUCUAAGUGAUUACUGGCCCUCUACCCUUCACUUUUCUACUUUGUACGCAACAGAUGCCUUCUUCACAUUUGAAGAAAUGAAGAUGGCAUCACCCGGACUCUCCUGCAAAGCAUUUUUAAAAAUGCUUA